rnacentral:tRNA from 1 species
GCCCGGAUACGCCAACAGGUAGAGCGGCUCGGCUUAAACCCGAGUGUUUGCAGGUUCGAUUCCUGCUCUGGGUA